rnacentral:rRNA from 1 species
GACGAACGCUGGCGGCGUGCUUAACACAUGCAAGUCGAACGGAAAGGCCCUGCUUUUGUGGGGUGCUCGAGUGGCGAACGGGUGAGUAACACGUGAGUAACCUGCCCUUUACUUUGGGAUAACUUCAGGAAACUGGGGCUAAUACCGGAUAGGAGCUCCUGCUGCAUGGUGGGGGUUGGAAAGUUUCGGCGGUUGGGGAUGGACUCGCGGCUUAUGAGCUUGUUGGUGGGGUAGUGGCUUACCAAGGCUUUGACGGGUAGCCGGCCUGAGAGGGUGACCGGCCACAUUGGGACUGAGAUACGGCCCAGACUCCUACGGGAGGCAGCAGUGGGGAAUAUUGCACAAUGGGCGGAAGCCUGAUGCAGCAACGCCGCGUGCGGGAUGACGGCCUUCGGGUUGUAAACCGCUUUCGCCUGUGACGAAGCGUGAGUGACGGUAAUGGGUAAAGAAGCACCGGCUAACUACGUG